rnacentral:rRNA from 1 species
UUUAUGGAGAGUUUGAUCCUGGCUCAGGAUGAACGCUGGCGGCGUGCCUAAUACAUGCAAGUCGAGCGAACAGACAAGGAGCUUGCUCCUUUGACGUUAGCGGCGGACGGGUGAGUAACACGUGGGUAACCUACCUAUAAGACUGGGAUAACUUCGGGAAACCGGAGCUAAUACCGGAUAAUAUUUCGAACCGCAUGGUUCGAUAGUGAAAGAUGGUUUUGCUAUCACUUAUAGAUGGACCCGCGCCGUAUUAGCUAGUUGGUAAGGUAACGGCUUACCAAGGCGACGAUACGUAGCCGACCUGAGAGGGUGAUCGGCCACACUGGAACUGAGACACGGUCCAGACUCCUACGGGAGGCAGCAGUAGGGAAUCUUCCGCAAUGGGCGAAAGCCUGACGGAGCAACGCCGCGUGAGUGAUGAAGGUCUUCGGAUCGUAAAACUCUGUUAUUAGGGAAGAACAUACGUGUAAGUAACUAUGCACGUCUUGACGGUACCUAAUCAGAAAGCCACGGCUAACUACGUGCCAGCAGCCGCGGUAAUACGUAGGUGGCAAGCGUUAUCCGGAAUUAUUGGGCGUAAAGCGCGCGUAGGCGGUUUUUUAAGUCUGAUGUGAAAGCCCACGGCUCAACCGUGGAGGGUCAUUGGAAACUGGAAAACUUGAGUGCAGAAGAGGAAAGUGGAAUUCCAUGUGUAGCGGUGAAAUGCGCAGAGAUAUGGAGGAACACCAGUGGCGAAGGCGACUUUCUGGUCUGUAACUGACGCUGAUGUGCGAAAGCGUGGGGAUCAAACAGGAUUAGAUACCCUGGUAGUCCACGCCGUAAACGAUGAGUGCUAAGUGUUAGGGGGUUUCCGCCCCUUAGUGCUGCAGCUAACGCAUUAAGCACUCCGCCUGGGGAGUACGACCGCAAGGUUGAAACUCAAAGGAAUUGACGGGGACCCGCACAAGCGGUGGAGCAUGUGGUUUAAUUCGAAGCAACGCGAAGAACCUUACCAAAUCUUGACAUCCUUUGACAACUCUAGAGAUAGAGCCUUCCCCUUCGGGGGACAAAGUGACAGGUGGUGCAUGGUUGUCGUCAGCUCGUGUCGUGAGAUGUUGGGUUAAGUCCCGCAACGAGCGCAACCCUUAAGCUUAGUUGCCAUCAUUAAGUUGGGCACUCUAAGUUGACUGCCGGUGACAAACCGGAGGAAGGUGGGGAUGACGUCAAAUCAUCAUGCCCCUUAUGAUUUGGGCUACACACGUGCUACAAUGGACAAUACAAAGGGCAGCGAAACCGCGAGGUCAAGCAAAUCCCAUAAAGUUGUUCUCAGUUCGGAUUGUAGUCUGCAACUCGACUACAUGAAGCUGGAAUCGCUAGUAAUCGUAGAUCAGCAUGCUACGGUGAAUACGUUCCCGGGUCUUGUACACACCGCCCGUCACACCACGAGAGUUUGUAACACCCGAAGCCGGUGGAGUAACCAUUUGGAGCUAGCCGUCGAAGGUGGGACAAAUGAUUGGGGUGAAGUCGUAACAAGGUAGCCGUAUCGGAAGGUGCGGCUGGAUCACCUCCUUUCU